rnacentral:tRNA from 1 species
GGCUUAGCUCAGUUGGUAGAGCAACUGAUUUGUAAUCAGUGGGUCGGGAGUUCGAAUCUCUCAGCCGG